rnacentral:rRNA from 1 species
UACGAAGGGGGCUAGCGUUGCUCGGAAUGACUGGGCGUAAAGGGCGCGUAGGCGGAUGGCACAGUCAGAUGUGAAAUUCCUGGGCUUAACCUGGGGGCUGCAUUUGAUACGUGUUGUCUUGAGUGAGGAAGAGGGUCGUGGAAUUCCCAGUGUAGAGGUGAAAUUCGUAGAUAUUGGGAAGAACACCGGUGGCGAAGGCGGCGACCUGGUCCUUAACUGACGCUGAGGCGCGAAAGCUAGGGGAGCAAACGGG